CCAAUGAUACCACAGAUAUUAAGAUCCAGAAUAUAUGCUCUGAUAUGUCGUCGUUGAGCAUUGAUAGACAUAAAAAAUCACAGCGCAGCUACAUUGAGCAAUGUAAGGAGCCCUUGCCAUCUGAAAUGACUGGGGAAUCUGUGGUUUCUGCAGAUGAGAUUUGUAUCUCAAAAGAAAAGUCUGAUUUGAGAUUUGAUGCGCAUGCUAAAGUUAUACAAGUUGCUACUCCUGAAAUGGAUGAUGGGGGAGCCCUUGCCAUCUGAAAUGACUGGGGUAUCUGUGGUUUCUGCAGAUGAGAUUUGUAUCUCAAAAGAAAAGUCUGAUUUGAGAUUUGAUGCGCAUACUAAAGUUAUACAAGUUGCUACUCCUGAAAUGGAUGAUGGUUUGCUAUCCUUUAA
rnacentral:lncRNA from 1 species